GGGAGUCCUCAAGGGGAUGAAAUUGACCUGAAGGACCAGCUGGUUUGGACAGGGCAGUGGAUGCUUUUGGAAACUCUUGAAAUAGUAGCUCCCACGUGAUCUUAAUCCUCCGGUACACAGCCUUAGACACUCCCCUUUACAGCCAGAGUGGGACACCUUUUGGGUCAUGUGUCUCAUUAUAUUCUCAUGAAAGCUAUGGCCCUCUCCCCAGAAAAGGAACUUAGAUACACACAUUUUUGUUUCCCUGUGUAAUUUCAGGAAGCUAAGGAACCUCUGAAAGACCAUCCAUGGAUCUUCUAAUUUUGUUGGGUUUAAAAAAAUCCUGCUUCAGAUACAGAGAUUGGGCCAGGAAGUUUUCUAGAUGCUAGAGAAAUAAUAGUGUGGGUACCCAGCAUGUCUCAGGGAGAGCUCCACCGAACUGUGGCGUUUUGCAGUAUUUUGUCGGCAUCCUCCCCCUCCUACUCCAGGGUGAUUAUAGUAAGCUUUGUUUGUGUGAUUUUAUAGUUUAGAGGGCACUUUGUAAACAUCCCAUUGAGCGCUCCAAGUGAUCCCACAAUCCUCUGAGGUUAGCGGGUUUUGUUUUCCCCAUCACUGCUUUGUCUGUUACAAGUUCCACUUCUCUCUGAGGCCCCAUCCCACCUAAGCAUGUGUGCUUUGUUGAUGGACGGAAAGAUGGGGUGUGGGGAGUGGGCGGGGUGGGGGGAGGGGCAUGUACUCUGUGAGCACUACCUGGAGAAGUGGAGGCGGGACAGCUGACUUUCUCAGAGAAGAAGUGCCUUCUCUGCAUCAACCUCUGGUACUCAGAUGAGGACAACUCUUUAUUCCUUGUCCUUGGCCAGAUGUCUGAUUUUAUUGAUGUUGACUUUGUGAUAACUGUUGCAGAGACAUGGAGGAAGUUUACUUUAGUUUCAUAGAUAAGGCAGACCCAUUAAAUACAUAUUGUAAAGAUCUAGGCAGACUUGUAUAGAAAAAUGUAGACUACCUUAGAAAAACCUUUGGAUUCAAGGCCUUCAAAAACACUCAUUUGUAUGUAAAUACCUAAGAAGCAGUGGCAUCUUCGACCUACACCAUAGCUUGUGGCAACACUGGAUCUUUAACCCACUGAGCGAGGCCAGGGAUUGAACCUGCAUCCUCGCAGACACUGUGUCGGGUUCUUAACCCUCUGUGCUACAAUGGGAACUCCAAGAAAUUGGAAAAAUUUUAAAAAUGCUGAGUGGUUUUGGUUCCCUGAGAAACUGUAUUGUUUCUUUCCCUUGUGUUUGGUCUCCUGUCCCCACACUGAGACUUUAGAGACGUGGAUUCCCAUCUUUGAGACCCUGUUCCCGUACUCAGCUAGCCUUGCACAUUCCACAUUUUCAGAGGAGCAUCCUUCUGUGCUUCUUCCUUCUCUGUUUCCCCUACACUUAUUGAUAAAGCACUGGAGGAAGAUUAUGUAUGAACUCAGGAUUCUGUUAUUACUUCUGUUAUUUGUUUCCAGUUAAAAAUGAGAACUCAUUUUGGGGAGGGAGACAGAAAGGGAAAAAGUUUCUAAGUGAGCCGGUGGAAAAAGCACAUUCAUUAUCAAUGUCUUUCUCACUGAGUCGUUUGAAGCUGGGAAAAUUAGCAGCCGCUUUGAAGCUCAGAAGAUCUUUCAUCUUGGUGUGUGUGAGUGUGUGUGUGUGUUAAUAUUAAGUUGAGAUUCUUUUUCUUGCCACUUAUUUGGUUUUGCUGCUAAUAAUGAAAUUAUAAUGAGAUCCCUGAUGGG
rnacentral:lncRNA from 1 species